rnacentral:RNase_P_RNA from 1 species
CAGGAGCAACCGCGCGGCCUUGAGCAAUCGGGGAGCGAGGAAAGUCCGGACACCACGGGACACGGGGCCAGAGGAAUCUGGGUGUGGCAAUUUCUCACGAAAUUGCUGCAACGAACAGUGCCACAGAAAAUAUACCUCCUUAGAAAUAAGGGAAGGGUGAAAUGGUGCGGUAAGAGCGCACCGCGCGGCCGAGAGGUUUGCGGCAGGGUAAACUCCCCCGGGUGCAAUUUCAAGAUUUCGGCCUUCUCUUUAGGGGUAACCUGGUGGUCUCAGCCGGGAAGAGCCGAUUGGUAGAAAGCGAAGGGCUGCGGGGUAUAACCCGCAGACAAGAGAAAUGGUUGCGAGGCGAUUCGGCAACGGGUCGUUUUACAGAAUCCGGCUUAUGAAUGUCGC